UACAGAGACUGCAAGCGUUAUUCGGAUUCACUGGGCGUAAAGGGUGCGCAGGCGGCCGGGUGUGUCAGAUGUGAAAUCCCGAAGCUCAACCUCGGAACUGCGUCUGAAACUACUUGGCUAGAGUACUGGAGAGGGUAACGGAAUUCACGGUGUAGCAGUGAAAUGCGUAGAUAUCGUGAGGAACACCAGAGGCGAAGGCGGUUACCUGGACAGUUACUGACGCUCAGGCACGAAAGCAUGGGGAGCAAAAGGG
rnacentral:rRNA from 1 species